UUUGCCUACGGGGCGCAGCAGUGGGGAAUAUUGGGCAAUGGACGCAAGUCUGACCCAGCAACGCCGCGUGAAGGAAGAAAGCUUUCGGGUUGUAAACUUCUUUUAAGGGGGAAGAGAAGAAGACGGUACCCCUUGAAUAAGCCACGGCUAACUACGUGCCAGCAGCCGCGGUAAUACGUAGGUGGCAAGCGUUGUCCGGAUUUACUGGGUGUAAAGGGCGUGCAGCCGGAGAGGCAAGUCAGAUGUGAAUUCCGCGGGCUCAACCCGCGAACUGCAUUUGAAACUGCUUCCCUUGAGUAUCGGAG
rnacentral:rRNA from 1 species